GGCCGCCUGGCGUAAUGGCAACGCGUCUGACUACGAUGAAGUAAUCAGGAGAUUGCAGGUUCGACCCCUGCGGUGGUCA